AGUGAACGCUGGCGGUAGGCCUAACACAUGCAAGUCGAACGAGUGGCGGACGGGUGAGGAAUACAUCGGAAUCUACUCCGUCGUGGGGGAUAACGUAGGGACACUUACGCUAAUACCGCAUACGAUUGAAUGAGCCGAUGUCGGAGUAGCUAGUUGGUGGGGUAAAGGCUCACCAAGGCGACGAUCCGUAGCUGGUCUGAGAGGAUGAGGGGCCACACUGGAACUGAGACACGGUCCAGACUCCUACGGGAGGCAGCAGUGGGGAAUAUUGGACAAUGGGAGCAAGCCUGAUCCAGCCAUACCGCGUGGGUGAAGAAGGCCUUAGGGUUGUAAAGUCGUUUUGUUGGGAAAGCGGUACCCAAAGAAUAAGCACCGGCUAACUUCGUGCCAGCCGCCGCGGUAAUUC
rnacentral:rRNA from 1 species